GUAGAGGUUCUUAGCUACGGAGAUGUCCCUGCCAAGACCUAAAAGCUGGGAGAGAAGGGACACCCAGAAUACUGAGAACUAAGCAGGCCUGGAACAAUGCCAAGGCAGGAUACAGGUUAUCCAUAGUGUGUAAAAUCUACAUGUUUUGGAGCAUAUUUUUAUUCUUAAAAAAUAGUGCUACAGAUUAUGGUGGAUAAUGCAGGUGCCCCACCACAUCCCCUAGCUGCCGUGAAUGUUGACUGCUGGAUAGUAUUCCAUCUACCUUGCUUCUUGCUUCUCUCAUUCUUCUUUUCUUAAGAGAAGCACUUCAACAAGAAUUCUUCUCAGGCUCUGCUUUUGGGGAAAGCAACCUAAGACACAGGUUCAUGAUGCUCUCUCUGGCCACCUUCCAGACAGGAAGAAAGAGCAGAGGAUCACUGUGAGAGGAAUUUGAGGAUCAAAUCCUGAAGUGGUACAUGUCACUACUGUUCAUAGUCUCUUUGCUGGAACUUGGUCCUAUGGCCCUACUGGCAGAGAGGAAGGCUAUGAAACCCAGUCUAGGCCUGCGCCUAGAAGAAGAAGAAGAAGAAACACCUUUUGAAGAACAGAGAGCAGUCUCUGUCAUACCAGGAGUACCUGUCACAUACUUGUAGAACAAAAAUCAGUAACAUUUUAAUUAUUGAAACAAUGUAACAACUUUAAACACAGUUUCAUAACUAGGAGUGAAUCACCCAUAAUCUCAUACCCGGAACAAAAUAUCUGUUAGUAUGAUGCACCUUUACAUAGCUGUAAUCUUAAAGGGCAUGUACUUCCUUCUUUGCUUUCCUUUUUUUUUUUCUUCAUCCUUUCCCUCUCUCCCUCUCUCCCUCUCUCCCUUUCUCCCUUCCUUCUUUCUUUUCUUCCUUUCUUUCUGAUUUUCUAACUUCCUUCUUUAAACAUUCCUUGAUCGUCUGUGGGUCUGGACAGCAACAUGGAGAUCAAUUAGGCGCAGCAUUUUAAAUUUGCCCUCAAGAAGUUCCACUAGUGUAAGAGUAGGCAAGUAACCAAUUAUUACAAUAGUGGGACAAGCGCUGUGAUAGAAAUAAAUACAGAGUACUGUGGCAGUCCUUACCCAGAAAAAGAUAUCUAGGGUAGAUGGUAUCUGAACUGAGAAUUAAAGAAUAAAUAGAAGAUAGCAUGGCAAAAAAA
rnacentral:lncRNA from 1 species